UACGUAGGGUGCGAGCGUUGUCCGGAAUUAUUGGGCGUAAAGGGCUCGUAGGCGGUUUGUCGCGUCGGGUGUGAAAACUCCGGGCUUAACUCGGUGCUUGCUUUCGAUACGGGCAGACUAGAGGUAUGCAGGGGAGAACGGAAUUCCUGGUGUAGCGGUGAAAUGCGCAGAUAUCAGGAGGAACACCGGUGGCGAAGGCGGUUCUCUGGGCAGUACCUGACGCUGAGGAGCGAAGGUGUGGGGAGCGAACAGG
rnacentral:rRNA from 1 species